AAUCGAACAUUUGUAAUCAUUUGGACGCUUUUUACAACGAAUAUUAUAUAUUCUAUUUGAAGACAUUGAUUAACAUUGAACAGAAUGUCAGCGAAGGGAAGGACAGUUAUGGUUUUAUUGGAAAGUCUGGCAGGAACAAAACAUAAAUAUGUACGUCUAAGGCCACGAGCAGAUGGUCCAGGGGAGUCCAUAUUGUUUGACCCAAUAGUGAGAGAAAAUGUACUGUAUAAAGAAAUAAAGAAAAUUAGGACAAUCAAAGAUAAAAAGAAGAAAAAAUCAUGAUGCAUAUUUGAAUGUAUGCUCUGCAGAUGUAAAGUUGAAUGUUUUGUCUGAAAUGUAGAAUGUGAUUGGUUUGAGAAGAUGUGUAUUGUGAAAGAAUGUUAAAUAUUAUACAUAUAGCAGAAACUGCCAAAUAAAUAUGUACAGAAGUUC